rnacentral:rRNA from 1 species
UCGAGCGAGUGGCGAACGGGUGAGUAACGCGUGAGGAACCUGCCUUGUACUGGGGGACAACAGUUGGAAACGACUGCUAAUACCGCAUAAGCCCACGGUGCCGCAUGACACUUUUGGGAGACAUCUCCUGGAAGUCAAAGCUUUAUGUGCUGAAAGAUGGCCUCGCGUCCGAUUAGCUAGUUGGUGAGGUAACGGCCCACCAAGGCGACGAUCGGUAGCCGGACUGAGAGGUUGAACGGCCACAUUGGGACUGAGACACGGCCCAGACUCC